UUAUAUUCUCCACAGGGGGGGAUGAGAACCCCCGACCGGGGUUCGACAACUGGCGCAGCCAGUUGGACAGACCGCGCACGCAGCAAGCGGGCUGCCCCGCAGGGGCGAGCGAAGCGAGUCAAUCCCCCCCUCACCGCCA
rnacentral:sRNA from 1 species